rnacentral:rRNA from 1 species
UACGUAGGUGGCAAGCGUUUGUCCGGAUUUACUGGGCGUAAAGGGCGUGCAGGCGGUCUGUUAAGUGCAGGGUGAAAGCUCCCGGCUCAACUGGGAGAGGUCCUUGCAUACUGGCGGACUUGAGGGGGGUAGAGGAAAGUGGAAUUCCCGGUGUAGUGGUGAUAUGCGUAGAUAUCGGGAGGAACACCUGUGGCGAAGGCGGCUUUCUGGGCCCUACCUGACGCUGAGGUACGGGAGGCAUGGGGAUCGAACAGG